rnacentral:misc_RNA from 1 species
GAUGAAGAACGUAGCGAAAUGCGAUACGUAAUGUGAAUUGCAGAAUUCAGUGAAUCAUCGAAUCUUUGAACGCAUAUUGCGCUCUCUGGUAUUCCGGAGAGCAUGCUUGUUUGAGUAUCAGUAAACACCUCAACUUCCAUAUCUUUUUUGAAAUGGGAGUUGGACUUGAGUGAUCCCAACGCUUUUCCUCACCGAAAAGUGGCGGGUUACUUGAAAUGCAGGUGCAGCUGGACUUUUCUCUGAGCUAUAAGCAUAUCUAUUUAGUCUGCCUAAAAAACAGAUUAUUACCUUUGCUGCAGCUAACAUAAAGGAGAUUAGUUCUUGUGCUGACUGAUGCAGGAUUCACAAAGACGGCUUCGGCCGACUUUGUAAACUCGAUCUCAAAUCAAGUAAGACUACCCGCUGAACUUAAGCAUAUCAAUAAGCGGAGA